rnacentral:ncRNA from 1 species
GAUUACAUAAAUUUCUCUCUGUAAUCGCGGCUG